UGAUUGAGCAAAGGAGAAGAGAACGGCUUUGGGCUUGGGUUUGUCAGUCAUGGUAUACAGAAUUUCGUGGAGCAGUUCCUACUAGACUUGCACAGGACUUGGCAUUUUCAAUUGCAAGGUUUAUACAAAUGGUGGUUCUUUUGCCAACUACUACAUGUACCAUGGAGGAACGGAUUUUGGCCUAACUGCUGGCUGUCUCUUCAUUGCAACUAGCUAU